AAAGAUCUCCCAGCAGAAGAGGAGAGGAGGUUGUGUGGGACAAGUUGCUCCCGACAGAAGGAUGUCGCUGCUGAGCCUGCCCUGGCUGGGCCUCAGACAGGUGGCAAUAUCCCCAUGGCUACUCCUGCUGCUGGUUGUGGGCUCCUGGCUACUCACCCGCAUCCUGGCUUGGACCUAUGCCUUCUAUAACAACUGCCGCCGGCUCCAGUGUUUCCCACAGCCCCCAAAACGGAACUGGUUUUGGGGUCACCUGGGCCUGAUCACUCCUACAGAGGAGGGCUUGAAGGACUCGACCCAGAUGUCAGCCACCUAUUCCCAGGGCUUUACGAUAUGGCUGGGUCCCAUCAUCCCCUUCAUCGUUUUAUGCCACCCUGACACCAUCCGGUCUAUCACCAAUGCCUCAGCUGCCAUUGCACUCAAGGAUGAUCUCUCCAUCAGGUUCCUGAAGCCCUGGCUGGGGGAUGGGCUCCUGCUGAGUGGCGUUGACAAGUGGAGCCGCCACCGUCGGAUGCUGACACCCGCCUUCCAUUUCAACAUCCUGAAGUCCUAUAUAACGAUCUUCAACAAGAGUGCAAACAUCAUGCUUGUGAGUCCCUUGAAGUCUGGGUCCCAGCUGGAGUCUUGGGGUGGAGGGACCAUGGACACAUCUGGUCUGGAAUUUUGGCUCUUCUGGGUGGCACUGGGCCAUUGCUCUUCCUCUCUGAGCCUUGGUUUCCUCAUCUGUAAAAUGGGGAUGAUAAUCCCUACUUGAAAGGUCAUUUACUUGGCACACAGUAGGUUCUCAGAAGGUGUCAGUUUCUGUGUUUUUCUCACAGAAUCCCUGUAAACUCAAGAGAGUAAAAAUGAAGAUUGUGUAGUAGUCAUUGCUGAUUACAAACCACUUCAGAACUCAUUGGCUUAGAGCCAUAAGGGUUUACAAUUGCUAAGGAGUCUGUGAGACAGCUGGCCAGUUCUUCUGGAUGUGGAAGGGAUCACUCUUGGCACAUGAGCAGCUGUGGGUCGGGGGGCAGC
rnacentral:sRNA from 1 species